GGGGGAAUAUUGGACAAUGGGCGCAAGCCUGAUCCAGCCAUGCCGCGUGAGUGAUGAAGGCCCUAGGGUUGUAAAGCUCUUUCACCGGUGAAGAUAAUGACGGUAACCGGAGAAGAAGCCCCGGCUAACUUCGUGCCAGCAGCCGCGGUAAUACGAAGGGGGCUAGCGUUGUUCGGAUUUACUGGGCGUAAAGCGCACGUAGGCGGACUUUUAAGUCAGGGGUGAAAUCCCGGGGCUCAACCCCGGAACUGCCUUUGAUACUGGAAGUCUUGAGUAUGGUAGAGGUGAGUGGAAUUCCGAGUGUAGAGGUGAAAUUCGUAGAUAUUCGGAGGAACACCAGUGGCGAAGGCGGCUCACUGGACCAUUACUGACGCUGAGGUGCGAAAGCGUGGGGAGCAAACAGG
rnacentral:rRNA from 1 species